ACUGGUAUAGCUCGUCGGUAAGAGCACUGCGGGGCCCCUGUCAAAACAGAGAGCAGAGAUCCAGGUUCGAAUCCUGGUGCCGGUGCCA
rnacentral:tRNA from 1 species